rnacentral:rRNA from 1 species
UACGGAGGGAGCUAGCGUUGUUCGGAAUUACUGGGCGUAAAGCGCGCGUAGGCGGCUUUGUAAGUUAGAGGUGAAAGCCCGGGGCUCAACCCCGGAAUUGCCUUUAAGACUGCAUCGCUUGAAUCCGGGAGAGGUGAGUGGAAUUCCGAGUGUAGAGGUGAAAUUCGUAGAUAUUCGGAAGAACACCAGUGGCGAAGGCGGCUCACUGGACCGGCAUUGACACUGAGGUGCGAAAGCGUGGGGAGCAAACAGG